rnacentral:rRNA from 1 species
UACGAAGGGGGCUAGCGUUGUUCGGAAUUACUGGGCGUAAAGGGCGCGUAGGCGGUGUGUCAAGUCAGGCGUGAAAGCCCCGGGCUCAACCUGGGAAUGGCGGUUGAAACUAGUCGACUCGAAUCUGGCAGAGGGGGGUGGAAUUCCACGUGUAGCAGUGAAAUGCGUAGAGAUGUGGAGGAACACCGAUGGCGAAGGCAGCCCCCUGGGCUGAGAUUGACGCUCAGGCACGAAAGCGUGGGGAGCAAACAGG